GGUAGUCCACGCCGUAAACGAUGAGAACUAAGUGUUGGGGUUACCCAGUGCUGAAGCUAACGCAUUAAGUUCUCCGCCUGGGGAGUACGACCGCAAGGUUGAAACUCAAAGGAAUUGACGGGUCUCCGCACAAGCGGUGGAGCAUGUUGUUUAAUUCGAAGAUACGCGAAGAACCUUACCAGGUCUUGACAUCUCGAUGAUCGCUAUAGAGAUAUAGUUUUCCCUCGGGACAUCGAUGACAGGUGGUGCAUGGUUGUCGUCAGCUCGUGUCGUGAGAUGUUGGGUUAAGUCCCGCAACGAGCGCAACCCCUAUUGAUAGUUGCUAACAUUAAGUUGAGGACUCUAUCGAGACUGCCAGUGAUAAACUGGAGGAAGGUGGGGAUGACGUCAAAUCAUCAUGCCCCUUAUGACCUGGGCUACAAACGUGCUACAAUGGUCGGUACAAAGAGUUGCCAAGUCGCGAGAUGGAGCUAACCUUUUAAAACCGAUCUCAGUUCGGAUUGAAGUCUGCAACUCGACUUCAUGAAGUUGGAAUCGCUAGUAAUCGUGAGUCAGCAUAUCACGGUGAAUACGUUCUCGGAGAUUGUACACACCGCCCGUCAUACCAUGAGAGUUUGUAACACCCGAAGUAUGUGGCCUAACCCGUAAGGGAGGGAGC
rnacentral:rRNA from 1 species